rnacentral:lncRNA from 1 species
CUGACCUUGAGCCGCGGCCCCGGCUGCGUGCCGUGAGUACCGCCGGGGCGGGACGGAGCAUCCGCGCGCUCCCAGAGCGGCAGCGGGGGGUACCUCGCGGCGCAGCACGAUGCCUGGCGGCUCGCCGCGGGCGGGGCGGACGCCCUUCAGGAUACUAAAGCAGAGUGCAAUUCCUCUGUAGAAACUGAGGACAGAAAAGUAAGUGGCUUGUAUUAAUGUCAUUUAUUCGGGCAGCUCCAGUAAGUUACUCUUUCAUUGUAUUUUUUCUUCUUAAUUUAACCAUGUUAAAUUAUGUUUUUUUAUGUGUAUGUGUUAAAGUUUCCUGAUAGCAUUGCUAAUGUAGUUGUAUUAUUACUUCAGUAGGUACGAAACUACCUUACUCGAUUGAGGGAACUUGUUAGAAGAUUUCUCUUCCUUAUUUAGAAGAGAAUUAAAAACACUUAAAAGCAGGAGAUGCAGAAAGCUGUCUUCUAGCAGCUCUCAAGUUGUGUUUUGAAACAGUGGGUUUUUGUGAUUAAUUUAGCGUUAGUUUAACUGUGCCAUAAUGUGUGAUAUUGAAGUUCUGUGGUUCAACUUUCCAAAGUUGUUUUUGUUAUUUUUGGACUUCUUUAGGCUACUGCAUCUUUCCAUGAAUAUUCAGCAGCUCCUCUUUUUCUUAAUAACAACCAAGUUAGUUUUGCUGGAAAUGAAAAAGUUUAUAAACCAACAUAAUCCCAUAUGCACUUGAGUUAUCAAGUUCAGAUUGUAUUAAGUACUGUUAUACAGGUCUAGUAUAAUAUGUUGUUGAAGUUACUGCAGGAGAGGACAAUUCAUUUUUGUUAUGUGAUGAAGGUUCUACAGAAUUUCGAUGAUUUACAACGUUUUCAGGAACAAAGGAAAUUAUUUUGAGUUGCACAAAAACAUAGUAAGAAUUCAAUUAAGAUACUGAAAUGUGAGUGUAAUUAGCUUGCAAACGCAAGAACUUGUAUGAAGAGUUGUCUAGUUGUCCUCAUUUCCUUAAUUUGUUGGAGUUUUUUUUAAAGAACAUAGAUGUUAUAAUUAGCUAUUGUUGCAUGGCAUUUCAUGCUUGGUCUCAGAACUGGAGCUUCUGCUGAGCUGAAAUUGAAGCUUUACUUUUCAGUCCAGGGGUAUGGAUUACUAAUGACCUAUUCUGAGAUAAUCAAAUAAAAACAUAUCAAUUUUAUGAAAUAACAACGUGGUUUUUUUUACUGCUUGUUGCAUUGCAUGUGUUUAUUGAUACUGUAAAUUAGGGACUUAGUGUAAUUUGUAGAACCUGUAACAUUGUAAAUAAAUAUUUUUAUGUUGAAAUCAAGACAAACUACUGCAAUUAAGACAUGCAUAAUUAGCAUUUCAUAAUUUGCACUUCCUUAAUGAAAUAUAUUACUAAUGAACUAUAUCAUUAGUGAUUAAUGAAAAAUGUUCCAAGCUAACAACAAAAUGUCUGCAAGGUGCCUUCCUUUUCUUACAAACUUUCUUCCUGAUGCUUCUUAAUCUCUACUUUAUGAAGUGGAAAUUUAUGAAGCCAUUAAUGAAGUUUUGCCUGAAGAUGAACUUAAAUUUUGUAAAAGUAGUUAUUAUUUUGAAAUCUAUUAUUCUGCAAAUGUGAAAGUAUAACCUAAUUUCCUUAAUCACAUUAUCUCUAUGUUCUGUGUUGCUCUUAAUUGUUACUUCUCCUGAACGUUUUAUGUAAGAUUCCACCAUUUUUUUUUUCCUAAGGAUAGAAGUCUUAAGUUUUAAAAUAACAGCUGACAAGUAGCCAGUAGUGUGUAGUAAUUGACCGGUAUUAUUAGGCAUUGCUAAGCUGUGUCUGCCACAACCAGAUGUAGAACCUCUCUAUGGAUGACUCAUUUCCCACCUAACCAGUCCUCUUUUCUGUUGCACACCCAGCCCUUCUUUACUUUGUUUUCAUACCUUCUUUCUGAGCAACCAAUAUUAGAUAUUUCGUGAGUCAUGUGAUUAUGCAAAUAUCUAAGUCUUGCUGUUAUUAAAACUACAUGUAGAAACACAAUCAUUAAAUUUUCACAGGAAAGAAGCCUGUUAUAACCAUGUGAAUUGUGACUUGGUGAAAACAGUGAUUUCUGAAGCUGGUUUCAUGUUUUUGGAAUUUGAGUCAAUUUUAAAGCCUGUGGUGUUUUUCAGCGUGAGAUCUCAAUCUUCAAAGGGUAACCAAGUGAUGUUUGUUAGUUUGUUUUACCCAUGUAUUCCAAUAAGUGUGUGUUGGGAGCAAAACCAAUGAUUGUUUGAAGGAAUUCAUGAAAGUAUUGUCCCUUUUGCUGGAAGGGAGGGCCAUGUAGAUUCCUUUGUGAUCUUCUCUUCCUUAUGAUACAAACAAGCUCUUGUCUCAGCAUCACUUUAAGAUUGCUAGCAUGUAAAGCAGUAUUUUUCAGUUGCUCUUAUACCAGUUUAAUCAGUUUUCAAUAGCUGAAAUACUUGCCCCAAAUAUAUUUUCCCACUUUUUUUUUUAUUCCAAGUUCUUGUAUUUAUUUGGUCUUAAAACAUGUGGGAGAGAACUGCUGUAUGGAAUUUGCAUUGAACAGAAGUCUUCAGAAGUACAGGAGAAAAAAAAAAAAAAGAAAAAUCCCUGGAAGCAAUAUUUCUCCCUGUUUUAUUCUGUCUUUAAAUUCUGAACAGAACAUGAGGGAAUACUUUGUUUUGCUUUGCAAUUGUUGCCUUGUCAUCGAAGAAAUUCCAAUGCUGUGAAACCAACGUUCUGGUAUGGGGUUAUCUUCCUCAUGCUGUCCCACCCUCCCUUUUUCUUUAUUCUGAGAUGGGGAACUGUUUGAGCCACUGAAAUCUGACUGGAAAGUUAAUUUACAAUGGCUGUUCUGUGCUGGGUAAUUCUGCUGCAUCUGGAUUUCACGGUGCUUGGGAUGUUUUGUUCUUCCUAUUUGGUUUCUUCAUUUUUGUUUGAUUUCAGCGUACUCUUUUUAGUAAUAGACUCACAUUUGCUGUAAUGUGCAGUGACAUUCUCUUCAGCAUAGCUUGCAGGAAAGUAAAUGCUGACCAUUAACUAGCAGCUAUGUUAUGAGCUUGGUAACUGAAGGUCACUCAGGAUAUCUUGCUUCAUUUUCUUUUCUUGAAGUAGCUCAUGGAGGGAACAUUUUUGAGAUGCAUCUUGACUUAAAAAUUUACCACAUUUGAGCUCAGAGUGCAGAGGCUUUAUGAGAGCAAUAGACUUAAUGGGUGUGCAUUAGGUCAAUAACAUGAUAGGUCAGUAAGUAAGAAAAUUUCCCUGUAGCGACAUAAUGUUUCAUCGCUCUCCAUUACCUUCUGUGGGAUAUGGCACAGGCAGCAAUGCCUUUCCUUACUUGUUCUGAAGAAAAAAAUGUAUCAUUUUUGUUUUUAGUACCAUCUGUCAGAGGAUUUUCAGGCACUUCACAAACAAAUUAAAAACACUUUUAAGGAAAGUACUUACAUUUAUAUUGCUCAAGUUAAAUAUGCGGAAAUAGAAUUAUGAAGGAAAGCCAGAGGGAAGGCUGCAGAGUUAGUCCAAGGAAAAACAGGAAGGCAAAGAACGUUGGUUUACAACUAUACUGUACUCAGCUCAUCCUAUAGCUUCUUGUAAUCUUUUAUUUAUUCAAUUUAAUGAUAAUUUCCAAAUAUUUUCCAUAAAAGUUUAAGGGAAAACUUUGUCUUAGUAGUAGGAAAAGAAUUACUUUAACAUUUUUCUUUAAGUUACUUACUGUGAGUGGAAAUUAAUAAGGGUAUCAAAUAAGAAAGAGCUUAUGAGUCAGUCUGUCCAUGAUGCUUCUUAACUGCAGACACCUAAGAUAUCACUAUAAUUGUAUGCUGUUUCCUUUUGUUGUGAACCCUUCUUCUGCUGUUUAGGACCUGCCUAUCAGUGAAUAUCAAGUAUCUUUUUUAACCUCUUUGAGGGCAUUAUGCAGCUUAUAUGAUUUUGGAAUGUUUGGGGUGAAUUUUUUCCUCAUGUUAAAAGGAAUUUUUUGUUGAGUAAAGAUUGCAGACUCCAAUCUAUUGUACCAAGGUAUUCUAUACAAGUAUCUUUAUUGUGUUAGGUGAUUGUGUUCUGUGAAUUGUGUUUGGGUAUAGAUUCAGUGGAAUCUUAAGGAACGCUAAUGGACCUCCUGGUGUUUGCCUGAGUGAACAAAUAAUUCCUAUUUCUUCUGCCUCUUUAGCUGUGGGAAAAAUAAGAGUAUUAUUGAGGCAUUGUCUGACAGGAUAGAAUGUAGAAGAAACAAGUGGGAAUAAUGCACGAGUUAGAAUAACGAGCUGUUCAGAUAAUAUCUACCUGUCACUGUAUGCCAAAGGUUCCCACUGAGAUCUCAGCUCUUAAGUUGGAUUUGAAUGACAUUUCUGGAGUCCUUUUCAUCACAGAGGUGAAUUUUUUCAGAAGGGUAAAAUAAUCUCAGGUUUAUUUUCUCUUGCAGAAAAGUUGCUUGAAAUCUGUGGCUGCCUCCUCAGUAAUAGUUUUAAUUAGAGACUUUGUGCACUCCAGAUAACCACAAGCUCAGGCAGUGAGUUGAAUCAGACCUGUAUUCUGAGUAUAAUUUUAUAUUAUUUUUAUAUGAGAAUGUAUAAUUCUUAAUCUAACUCUUAUACUUUUAGUGAUAUCUUUGAAAUCAAAGGAUCCUCCGUUUCCUUGUCUUAGUUGAUGUUCUUUGCAAGUAGAAGCAUUAGUUAUGGAAAUAUGGACAGCCAAAGCUUGCCUUAGAACCCAAUGUGCAGUGCUGGUCGGCCUAAUAAAUAUUGGCAAUACUGAAGUGAGGAAAGAGUCAGAAAUCCCGUCAAUCUCCUGGUAUGUAGAUUGUCACAGUACAAAGCCUUGUUGGAAGGUUCCAUAGUAUUUGAAUGAUCAUAAUGGCAGUCCUAUUACUGCUCUCUUGUUCUUUCUGUCACUGGCAUGCAAUUACGGAAUUUCACAACUGAAGUGAUGACAAUUGCUGGUGUGUGUGUCUGUCUUUCCUUUUCAUCCAACUGUAUCGAGCAAUCCGUAAUUUGAUAAAGUGGAAUUGAAAUGACAGACUUGAUACAAGUGCCAAAACAAUAAUUUGACCUCCCACUGAAGUGUUAAUGUGUUCAGCUGUAUGACUUUUACUCAUGCUGAAUACACAUAAGGAAUGUGUAUGGUAUGUUUAUUAUAUUGGAAUACCAGCUAAGGCAGAUUGCUGCUCAGCUGGCCAAAGCCAAGCCAAUGAAUGAUGUUGGUUGAGAGGAUAUUUAAGAAAGGGCAGAGACUGUUGUACACCAGCUGAGAGGGAGAAUGUAUGAGAGAAACAGCCCUGCAGGCACAGAGGUCAGGGGAAGGGGGAAAGAGGUACUUCAGGAGAUGGAGCAGUGAUUUUGCAGUUGUAAUGAGCAGUGUGGUGAAGCAGGCUGCCCUGCUGCAGCACACAGGAUGGUCUUAGUGCAGAUAUCUGUGCUGUAGCCUGUGGAGAGCCCAUGCAGAAGCAGGGGUUCCGGGCAGGAAUUGUGGCCCAUGCUGGAGCUGAUUUUUUUUUUUUUGGCAGGAAUCACAUCCUGCAUAGCAGCAGUCCCUUCCCAAAGGCUGCGCCUUGCGGGAAGGCCCCGUUCUGGAGCACUCUGUGAAAAACUGUACCCCAUGGGCACCUCAUCUAUGGCAUGUUGUAUAAUCCAGAGAGCUGUGGUCUUCCAGCCACGGUAUCAGGGCCCACACUCACUUAAGUAACUGACGCCAGGCUUGGAUGCCCACACUCCUGUCAGACUUCUCAUCUUCGUGCUCUGACUGCCUAGAAAUUAGUGCAGUUGCAGAGCCUGCCAGAACAGUUCCAUAGCAGCUGAUGGCAGCUGGUCACACCACAUAAGGUCCCCUGUACCCCUAGCAAACCUUCUGUGUGCCCCCCAGGAUGGAGGGAUGUGCUGUGUGGAAAUCCCAGGAGAGCAAGCAGAUGACCUUUGAUAGGCAGCACUUCCAAUUGUGCAGGAGAGGCAGAGCGGCCAUCCCCAAAUUUGCAGGUGGGACAGGAAUUUUCAGAAAGCCUGUAUAUUAUAGUGUGGGCUGCAGGUGGGUCAUUAGUUUUUAUAUCUGAGGGUGAAUUACAUGUGCAUUAUGGUAACUACAGAAGAAGCCGGGGUAUUGAGUUCAGGUCCAGAGUGAUUGUGUCCUUUUAGGAUCUGACAAAGGGUGUCACAGCCAAUAUACUUCUAACAGCAGCCUUGAGAGAUUUCAUCUCAUCUGUUGGAUAGGCAGUAGGAUGCAAUUAUUGUAGAGACUGUUCAAAACGCAGGUGAUGUUGUAUGUUGGUAUUUGUAGCAUCAAUGUGCCAAUGCAAAUAAUACUGAAUAGGAAUCCAGAAAAACAUCUUUGCUACUUAGGCCCAUUUUAGGAUGCUUGUUGCACCUCAGCAAUCCUGCUCCAGGAGUAUACUGUAGGUUAAGAAUGUGCUUGAUUAGGUUUUUGCACAAAGGUAUGUGGUAAAUUUUAAUCAUGUCUUGCUAAGCAAUGUGCUUAGGGAGGUGAGGUGGAGCUCCAAGAACCAUAACAAAAUGGAAGUACUUUUCAAUUGGAAAUGAGAUGAUAAUGAUAUUUAUUGGAAAUGGUUUCUAUGUUGAUAGAGGUUAUCUUCCCUAAUGCCUUUUCAUUUACUAGUUAAGAACUCAAAGGCACAUUAACAGAAAACAUGGACUUUAGAGAGACCUGUAUUAAUAAAAAGAAUUGUAUGUUUCAUACAAAGUAACUAGAAAUUGCGAUGAACAACUGUUUAAAAAGUCUAUAUUUCAGUAGCUAGCAGAAACUGAGGACAACUUAAGCAAUUUCCUCACUGUGUUUCUUCUCAGGCUCUAAGCGUGUUUGUAAGACUGCCCAUCUGUAGGUGUACAUCAUCUCAUGCUGUUUUCUUAUUAUGGAGCAGGGAGAGGUUUGACCAUGCAAGGUGAUCAAGUUGAUGCAACUGAAAUGGAUACUCAGCUUCUUGCUAUUUUUGUAGGCAGACGCUUCCCAGCACAGAAGCUGAGCGCAGCUUUACCUGUGGCCAGUAGUCCUUUCGACUUCAACUCUCAAUUUGACUUUUUCUCAUGGAAUAAAGAUUGCAAUUUCAAGAAUGGGAGAAUUAAAAUGAUAGCCUAAUUGUCCUUAUCAAAUGAGAACUUUUAUUAGUUAUUCUUUUAGAGCUGUACCAUGGAUGUGUCAACCUCACAUUUUUGUUGGAUAUCUCAGAGGAUGUCAGUAGUCUUUCAUAUCAUUGUUUAACAUUUGAACUGGAUAAUUUAAAACUAAGGCCAGUUUUGGAAGAGAGCAAAGGGAGUUGGGAAAAAGGUAUGCAGAGUCCCUCUUACCUGUUUUUUUUUUUUCAUAUACUUAAAAAAUUAGCUGCAGUGUUAGGGCACUGGGCAUUCAUCUAAAGCCUUUGUUUCAAGCUGUCAUUAUUAGCUUCACUUCUCUUGCUUAGGACAUGCUGUUUUUGAAACAAGUAUGACUGGUUCAUUAAGCUAGGUGGAAUCUAGUCAUGAUGGCAGUAAUGGAAUAGGUCAGCGUUUGACGGGAUAUGGAGGAAAAAUAGGUUGCAGAGUAACUCCUAAGAGGACUUCAGAUAAUGAGGCCGCUGUGGGAAGCCACUUAGAGUGUUUGUGUUCGCAGAGAUUCAGUGAAUCGAUCCGAUGGAGUAUUUAUUCUUGCAUAACGCCCCCAGAUGGUAACGUUUUGAAAAUAUAGAUAAUACUUUUCUUCUGUUACGCGCCAGGCUUGUUGAUGUGCUUUUUUUAUGAGACAAGUAAUCUUGCAGAUGUUGUUUCAUUAAACUGAGGUACAGAGAUACAUUCCAUUAAUUUUCUAUUCCCAAGUUCUAGGCAGUGCGUUCUAAUUUUCUUUCUUUAAAAUUGCAGGACAGCAUUUCAUGUAUUAAGUGAUACACAGAUUGCACAUUAACUGAUUAAACUUAGCAGAACACCGCUAAUUGAACACUUGCGAACUUGUCUUUUCGAGUUCUUUAAAAGGUAAAAUUAAUAAAUACACAGCUUUUAUUGUUACUUCAAAAUAUUAGGAGAUGGUGUUCCUAGGAGAGAAAACAGAGGGAUUGAGGAGCCAUAAAAUAAGUUGGUGUUUUUUUUUUCCCUUACCUCUGUAUGCCUGGAUAGUCAGCCUGGGGUUUGUUUUGUGAAAUACAUGGGACUCAGAAAUGUUAGUUUUCCUCAGUUUUUGGAAGUAAACCCACUUUAAAAGAAAGUAUAUUUCUAAAAGUAUUAAAAACUUUUUUUUUUCUGGCUGAAAACAUAUGGCUGGCCAUCUGUGCUUAGCCAUGUAAGUGUUUCUACACUGCACUUUAAUUUUCCUUGCAGUGAGAAGUAAGCCACUGUUGACUACAGAAGUGUUAGAAAGAGACAUUAGAAUUUCAUGAAGUUUCCUCAGAGAGGCUUACUGAUGAGGUGGGAGUCUGGAGGUUAGAUUUUUCUGCAGGUGAAAUUUGGGGAACGGAGUUCUUUUGUAAGUUGUUUUAAGUCCUUGUAACAGAGCUCAUGUUAAAUACACAAACAUUGCUAUUCAGGAGAUUACAGUUGCUUUCUAAUUAUUUAAUGGUAUACCUGAUAUUCUGUCAAAUUGCUCCUCUGUGGUGUUAAGGUAGACUUGAUUGAAACUAAUUUGUAUGGAACUUGGAAUGGCAUUUGAAAUUUUGUGUGGAAAACUUGAUGCAGGCAAGUGCUUUACUGUUCUAAGUCAUAAAAUUGAGAGACAGAAAUAACAUUUCUUCUCUAUCAGCAAUUGCACCUCUAUCAGAGGUUUUAUGUUGAAAAUGGGAAUCCUUUUAGGAAGUGAGCUGCGUAUUAUAUUUUUGGUUCUGUUUUCCAUAUAGCCCAUUACAAAAAGAUUCUUACAGAAAUAUUCUUGAAUACUAGGGAUAGAGCAUUGACUGGUGUGUAAGUACCUUUUUCUUGCUUCUCAACAUCAUCAGCAUGGGAGAGAAGAGGUGAGAUCCACUGUUUGUGUACGCAUGUUAGCUAAUGGGUAGUGUGCAUACCAGAAUAUCUGAAUCUUUCAGACAGUCAUUUCUUGAAUCUUUUAGCUCUGAAAAAUGGAGCUCCGUGAUUUUUCCGUUCUGUUAAAUUCUACUGUUGGUACUAGAACCAGUUGCCCAGGUUUCAUACAGAAUUUGGCUUGCUGUGGUGUUUCUUUUCAGGAAUUGUGAGUCAGUGUAAACAGUGAUCAAAACCAAAGUGUUGCUUAUAUUCAGCAGCUAGGGUACAGCAGAGGAAAAGUAAAAGACAGUAAAACCACAGGACUUAAAGCAUUUGGGUGAGUUGACCCAGACCAGCAGCUAAAUUGUUACCUGCACAGUUUCUUGCUUGCUCCCACCUGCCCAGUGGAAUGGGGAAGAAGAGCAUGAAGAGCAAAAGUGACAGACUCGAGGGUCGAGAUAAAGGCAGUUUAAUAACUGAAGAAAAGGGGAAAAUCCAAGUUCACUUACACUUAACACCUCCCAUGAACACAUACCCAGCCAGUUUCAGAACAAUGGCUGCCAACGGAUGAAGAUCUCCCCCCACCCCUUCUUCUGCUCUGUUUUAUUGCUGAGCUUGUACUUACAGGCUUUAGAACAUCACUUUGGCCACUUCAUGUCAGCUGUCCCAGCUGUGUCCCCUUACUAUCUCUUGCCCAGCAUUAGCCUGCUCACUGAGAGGUCGGAAGGGUUGUCAGCAUGAAAAAGAGAGCAGUUUGCUGUGAAAACACCAUUUAGCACAACCAAAGCAAUAGGUGUUAUCAACAGUAUUUUAUAUCUAUUAGGUUGCUGAAACUGUUUACAAAUAUAGUAGAAGUAGUCUGAAAAAUAGACUGAGAUUUCUAGUGGAAAACAAGAGAUGUAGGGGAACUGGAAUGGGUGAGACUAGUGAGAAAGCUAUGCUUCCAACUGUGUACAAGCGAGUAAUCUUUCGUUUGUGCAUAUAGCAUUUCUGUCUUUCUGUCUGUCUUGUGGAAAGGAGUCCAUGACUCUUUGAACUGCUAAUGUUUCAGCACUUGGGAAUCGAUCAAUUCAGAAAGCUCUAUUUCAUUUUUUGAGUUCAGUGUUUUCCCACUGUUUAGACACAAAUUGUUUAGAUGGCUUUCCAGGUGUACGCGUGUGGCUAGAUUAUCAGUGGCAGAUUGCUUUCAUCGUAUUUGAAGGGGACAGAAUAGAUCAGACUAUUGUUUGCCAAAUUAAUAUCUGGGAAGUAAUCCAACCUGAUUAAAGGGAUUGCUAUGAUUGAAUCAUAAAAGGGGAAAUGGGUGUGGAAGUCUUUUUUAUACCUGCUGGCUCUAUUACCUUCCUGGUACCUUGAACACGUGCAAUAAUAUACUUCUAUUCAGUAAUCCAAUUCAUUUCUCAUUGAUCCUAGUUAGUCAAGUUUUUUUUAUAUUGGAUCUCUUCCCAGGUAAAUCUUUUUGCUGCAGCAGCAUAUUGCUUUCUACAGCUGCCUUGACUUCUGGUGUUGGAUGGUUUGCUCCAAACUUUCUAAUUCAGUUACCUUAGAACUGACUUCUUCAAUAAUGAUGCACGAUGUACUUUCGUCUGAUGAAGUCUGCUAUUAUAAGGCCACUUAUUUUUAAAUGUAUGUCCGUAUUUGGAAAGUUGGAUCUGCGCGCUUCUAUUGUCUCUAAAGCACUGCUGAUGAGUUUUAUUUAAGGGGCAAAGUAAAUUUAAUCAUUUUUUCUCAUUUUUCUUGAACAAGUAUGCUUUAGUGUCUUUGUGGGAUAUGUGAUAUGUAGACUUUAUGGUUUAUAUCUAAACUAUACCCUGUCCAGAAAUGACUUAUGUAAUCAUAGCAGUUUUGCACAGUUCAGCUGAAAAAUCCUUGCUGUUGAUUGAGGUCAGAAAAAUCCCGGGGUUCUGCAAUUUAUCUGAGGUGCUUGAAUACUGAAAUAGGACACCCAAGGCAGUACUAAAAUAGCUAGUGUGGGAGAGGUGGUGAUGGAAUACAUGCCAUAUAACAGCUUCUAAAAGCAUUCAGGGGUUAUGUCUUAAAAUACAGUAUAAGUAUUGAAAGAAGAAUUCUGAUUUCAAAGUAUGAAAGCUGUUUUUUCUGCUAGCAGGCUAAUGUACCCAAGUGUUUGUUUGUGUUUUUCUGGAUAAUGGCAAUAUGAAUCCUGUUCAAGUUGCAACUCGUGACUUUAAAUAAAUGAAAUAGAAAAAAAAAAAUUCUGAUCUGUUACUUACAAGUAUUGAGGACUAAUGGAACAGAACCGUUUGUUAUUUUUUUAAUAUAUACUAUGAUGGAUUGCCUGAAAUCCAGUAGGGAAUGUUUACAUUUUCAGGAAAAUCUGUUUUAUCAAAGAUGACUUCAUUCUGGUCUUUCCUGAGCGGAUAACUCAUUGGCUGAUGACUUAAGACUCACAGGAGGAGAUGCACGUAGAAUGUUACAGCAUUGAAGCCGUGUUAGACCAACUCAUUAACUCAUUUUCCUAGAAAACUUUGUGUCUUAGAUCAUCACAGUUAUUGCUAUGUCCCUAGAAUAUUUGUCUUCAAAACCAGUAUCACGUAUUAUUUCACUGUAUUGCAGGAUUGUGUUUUCUUUGUUCUGUUUCCUCACAUGAAUGUAUGAUCUUGUUUCUGUUAAAUGGAUUCCCAGCAUUUCUUUUGUUCGUGAUACCCUGUGUUUAGGCAUGCUUUUCACUUCCAGUUGUCAGGUGCGGUAGGUAAAGACUAGUUAAGUCUGUGUUUCUUGUCUCUUUCACUGGUUCUCUUGAUGCUGGCAAUUAUUUUUGAAGGAAAAAAAAAAGGCUAGCUUUCUUUUUUGCGUAACAGUAGAGCAUGUUCCUGAUUUGCUUAAGAGGGUUGGUUUUGUUCUCUGGUUUGAUAUUUUUGUUGCCUUAGAAGAUGCAAAAUAUUCAUGAAGUUUAUUACUAACCAAUGUUGUGAGGAAUUUUCUCGUGACAGUAUUUGAGGUGUUAAUAAAAGCAGAUGCAUAGAAGAAUUUUACCCUUCUGAAGAUGCCCAAUCUAAUGUGCUAGCAAAGAGAUUUAAAAGCAGGGCUGUGAAAUUUUAACAUUUUAACAACUCAUAGAAUUGUAGAAUUAUAGAAUCAUUUGAGUUGAAAGGGACCUUUAAUUGCCUUAUAGUCCCACUCAUCUGCAAUGAACAGGGACACCACGGCUCCAUCAGUGCUCAGUGCCCACCCAGCCUGACCUUAGUGUGCCUGCAGGGAUGGGGCACCACGGCUGCUCUGGGCAGCCUGUGCCCAUGCUUCCUUACCCUUCUCAUUAAAGGAUAAAUAAUGUUGUGAUUUGAAAUCAGUCCUGCACUGAAUAUGAGAAUUUGUUUCUGAUAUUCCAUGCAAUUUAUCAAAAACCAAAAAAAAGCCCUUAAGUCAGUUUUCAGGCUUAUUCCUGAUUACAUGCAUAGUCUAGAGAAUUAUAAUUCGUUAUAAGGUAGAAGUAUCAGUCUGGGAAAGACUGGAUUGAUUUACUCUGUUUAACUCAUGAGGAUUCUAGAAAUACUAAGGAUUUUUCAUGUGUCCUCACAUACUUGCAGUCCUUGUUAUGCCCAUUGAGAUAAUUAAGACCAAUUGAGUAAGGCUUCUCUUUUUAGAUUACUGCCUUGGGAAUAGCUAUGAGUCCUGUGAGACUUCUAGCAUGGAGUGAACAGCAUUUCAUCUUAGGUAAGCAAGGCAUACGGAGGCCCAUGUUGGCAUAUAGCUUCAGCUGAACUCAGUGCAAAUAUUGGUUGUUGCUACUAUGUCUGAAGGUUAUUGGGUCCAAAACUUUUAAUAUACUUAAUAUAGGUAAAAGUCAUCUUCGAAAUAAAGUGUCGUGCCUUUUGGAAGAUCUGCUUCUUCAUAAGAAUGUAAAUACGAAGGCUCUCAAAGCAGGUCAGUUGUUAUGUUAGUGCUCCCCCUCUCUCUAGAAAUGUGGCUUACUUACCUUAUUGGAAGCCAAGUAUAUAUAGUGUGUUACAAUUAAGUAUCCAGUCAGAUUAGAACUUGGGACCGAGUUAUUCUGUAUGCUAAUAGACUUAUUAGUAUCUAUCAAAAUAUCCACUAGAGUUGAUCUUCCACAUCCAACUCUUGCCUUUUCAAAACUAGUUUUAAAAGUCCCAAAGCUUGAUACUCACUUUAUAAGGAGGUGCUCUUGUAAAUAUUAGAGUGUUCUUUAAUGCCUUUUAUUUUUCUCUAUAUUUAAAACCUACUCAAAUUUUAUGUUGUUUCAGAAGUUCCCUCUCUUUAUGUUUUAUCUUUCCUUGGAAGUAAUACUUUCUGUAGAAGUACUACAAAUCUCUUCCUAUCUUCUAUUAAUACAGUUGUGCAUACUGCUAAGUCUUGGUCAGUUUUAGCUUUCAAGUUCACCAAUAGAGUUUUGGCACAUUGUGGAUGAAAUAGCUUACAUAACCAGAAGGUGGCAGCGUAAGCUUAAAAAAUAAGAAUAAAAGAAGUGUUCACUCAGUAAAUCAAUUUUUAAAGGAGGGUUUUGUUUUGGUUUCUUUUUUCCCCCCAUAGCAACCCAAUUUCAUAAUAACUUCUCAAUCAUUAUGAGGCUUGCUCAUCCUUGACGUAAGCCGUGGUUAAGGUUCUGUAUUACUCUACAGCCUGUAUGUUUAUUUUGUCCUGUUUUAGAUCUGAUAGAACUCCCCAGCGUUUUUUUGCUACCGUUUCUGUGUAUCACAUCCUAAUUUGGUGCAGUUACAUCACUAUAUUUUGUUAGCAUUUUGCAUAAAGAAAUUGUUUAUGUUUUUCAAAUGACUUAUCUCAAGCCAGUCUUUCACUUCCUAUGUAACUCCACUGUUGUUUGUUGAAUAUAGUAAUACUUAAAACAUUGUUCGAUUAAAAAACACUUAGAACUGUAGUUUCAUCUUCAAAGGUUAUGUAAAACCCAUGUAUGACACAGUGACCACUCUUGCAUACAGGAACGAAGAAAUGGAAAUAAUUCAAGGCAUUAAAAAUUAGGUUUACUUUAGAGGCUGACACUUAGAAAUUUUAAAAGCCAUAUUUUUGUACACUUCAGCCUAAAAUGAGAGCUUCCAAUUGGAAUUGAAUGCAACAGAACACUCAGGAUGUACUUGUCACACUUUGAAUCCCUCUUUACCUCCCCAUACUCUUGCUGUCAUUUAGGCAUUAUUUGUAUCAGAUAAUAUUAUUGGAGAGAGAGGAGUAGGGAUUGUGCAUCUUGUUGAAGGCUUUCUUUUUAUGUAUUGAUUUCUGCUCAGAAUGAGCUAAGAGAAGAUGUGGUAGCCAAUUUACAGCAUGACCAUAGGAAUCAUAUGAUACAAAACCAAGCUGAAGGAUUUGGUGAUUAGUAGGUAAUUUUUGUAGGCUGAUGUUGGUUUUUUUUUGUAACAGUCAUGAUUGAAUGUCCAAAUAGCAAUUCUAUUAAGUUUUUUGAAAGCACACAUCUAAAAAGUACACUGCGAACUCCACCGUUUUAAAAACAAAUAAUUUUGCUGAAGUUUGUUUUCCUCUGUAAUGUGAUUGCUGUGUUUAAACAUACUUAACUGAGCAGUUAAUUACCUAUAAUUCUAGUGGGAGGUGCUUUUUUGUGUUUUUUUGGGGGGUUGUGUUUUUUUUUGGGGGGGGAAGGGGGGGGCUUGCAUAGUGACUGGUGUGUUUGUAUGAUUACCAAGUAAGUCAGGCUUUCAAAAAGUCAUUGCUAUUACAGUAUUUGUGACAAAAACCAUUAGCAAAUUUGUCCUUAAGGGAUAGACUAAUACAGUGGUUGACACUGAGAUAAGGGAGAGUGAAAUUAACAGUGGAUUCUCUUGCUAUAAAACUCCAACUUAAUGCUCCUGGGGAUAAACCAGAGACCCAUUGCUAUUAACUUACCUUUUCUAUCCAGUCGAUUAAGUCCUGACUCCUGUGGCAUGUAGGGUACAUAUCGCGGGACCUUCCUGUUUAGUCAGGCAUAUAUUCAGUCAUAUUGUGUAGCUGAAUGGGAGUUGUUUGAUUGGCGAACUGAGUAGCAAUUCAGUUUGAAAGGUAAACUUCUUUUUUUGCAGGUAUUUAAAGAAAGAAAUAUUGUCAUUCAAUGUAAUUCUUUGUUGUUAAUGAACUGGUGAUAUGAUCAUGUCUGUUGUCACACCAUCUGUUGGAUUUCCAAAAUUAAACAGUACAGAAAGUGUAAAACAGAGAAUGAGAAAUAGCUCUAAACUUAAAUUCAACUACUCUUAAGCUGUUUAUCAGAAUUUUCAAUAUUUAGGUUAUAUACAUAGAGCUGUUUGUAACCUAUGAAAAGGGAAAUUCUAGUUGAUGCAUACAUUCUAGUGGAUGGACCAUCCAAUUUGCUUCACAGAACAAUUGAAGAGUAAGUUCUUACAUAAUUUGAAGUUGUGCCUUUACUUGAUUUGGCUAAUUCUACAUUAAUAGUACUCUGUGUGUAUUUGAAGCUGGCUAGGUGAGCUAUAAUGAUUGUCUGUCUACAUAUCUGAUUAACGCAAAUGGAUCUGUGGCUCUGUUCUAUGAAGACUCUAAGUUUGUGCAGCAAAGCUUGGAAUUUGCAACUUGUGUAAUGAAGUUUACUGUGGUUCAAGUCAUCUUAUUUAUUUUUUUUAGUGACUUCAGUAGAUAAUGUAACAUGUUUGGUAACUGUCUUGUUUGUUCAUCUUCUACCUGUUGCCUUAUCUCACCAGGCUGUUGUUUUUGUUUGUGCUUAAUAACACUCUGUUGAAGUGUUGAGAAAACUUUGCGUGUGCCGUUCCUUUUGUAGCAGUACUCUUUGAGACAUGAAAUGUCUGUUAAUUGUAUUUUCUGAUUUUAUUUUUAAUUAACAGCUUAAGUUUUAAUGUAGAUAGAGCCCAAUGGCCAAUGUCAUUUUAAUAUGGACUUCAGUGCUUAAGAAAUUUUCCUAUCUGGAUGUUGUAGCUGGAAUGUGUCUCGGCGUGGGGUAAUCUGUACAGCUAGGAGUGGAGGUGAACAGUGUGUAGAUAUGUUAUGAUUUAUAGUUUUUAACUAAAAUAUUCUUAAUUGCCUUUCCAUUAGUAUAGCAAGUACUUGGGAAUCCUGAACGAUCUUUCACAUUGAAUAAAAGUCAUCCAGAGGUAUUAAAUAUAUCUAGCUGUCAUGAACAGGGGAAAUUAAAAAACCCAAACAAGCUGACAGAGAUUCAUUGUUAAAUCAGGAACUUAAUCUUGUAGGAAAAAAAAAAAUGGUAUCUUCCUAUGCCCUAUCUUCUAACUUAAUAUUUCAAGUGAAGCAGUAGUCUUUGAGAAGAGAUUCCUGUAAUAUCUGCCCUCUCUCUUUUUAUUUCUAAAUGUGUAAUUCACUUUGUUUCCUUUUGAAAAUUAUGGAAUUGUUGUACAAGAUGAGGACAAAAAUUACCUGAUGUUGACUUGGAUGGAGCACUUUGCUUUUUAAGGCUUCUGAAAUUUGAUUCCAUAGAGAAAUCUUUCUGUUCUUCAUUAAGUCUCUGUUUCUGAUUGCCUGCAUGCUGCCUGAAAUGAUCAAUUUCAGACUGAUUCAGAAGAUGCUCUUCCCACUAUAUUAGUUUAUUUUAAUGUCAUUUGAAAUGAUCAUUAAGCUAAUUGUCUGUUCUCGUUGUUUGCUGGUGGUGGCUCUUGCUCAUAGGAGUGAGUCUGAUGAUAAGUAUCAGUAACAGAGCAUUCAUUACAACUUAUCCAAAACAUGCAUCUGGUUUUCCAGAGCUGUAUGUCAACACGCCACACAAUCCUUUUGGUGUGUUACGGGAUGGAUUAAUUUCACUCACAACUUUCUCUGUAUAAUUCAUGAGCAUAACCCUGGCUGAAUUACAGGCGCUGACUCUAGAAGUCUGUUAAACAUCAGAAACAGUUGCUUGAAAUCAGCUUUCUGCUGAUGACUAAUUACAUUUCAAAGAACAGCAUAUUUGGCAGAAAAUGUGAUCUGAGCAAAGGGUUCAAAGGACGCAGCUUUAUAGAGGCAUUCCAUUACAAUACUAAUUGUGGACAGUUGCCUUAAAAAUACAGGCUACAAUCAUGUCAGUUACUCUUAUUCUGAUUUCUAUCAUGUAAAUCUGUAAAAAAAACAAACAAACAAAAAAGUGACUUCCAUGAUAGUGCUAUUUGGUUAACAGACAUAUGCAACAGGACCAUGGUAUGUGUGUGUCACAUACGUGAUCAGUGUAGCUUUGUUUGAAAGUCCCUCAGAUCCUUUAAUAUAUAUUAUCAUCUUGGCCUUUUGAAAGAGAAGGUUAUGAAGAAGAUAAACCAAAACAUCAUGCUGAUGUUGUAUGACUAAGGCAUAUAAAUACUGCAUACAAAGCGUGGUAAAGGGUUUACUCAAAGAUUUUGAGAUGUUUAUUGUCAAGGAAGUCUGUAAAAACUAAUAUUUCGCCUAUUAUUUUCUUGAACUUGGAGUGCAUUUUUUUUCUGCAUGGCUUCUCUUGCCCUAAAUAGGUGAAAAAUGAAGUUUAGUGUAGUAAAGCCUCAGUUCAGGUGGAACUGUUGAGUGACAGAUCUUUAAUUCUUCUAGAAACAGCAAAUCAGACUUUGUAGGUUAUUUUGAUGCAUACAAGCAUGUGAGAAAAAUCUAUGAUUGUGGCUGUUGUUUUCAGUGGUGUUUUUCCCCCGCCUUGAAUUUACGGAAGACAAUACUAAGAUACUGGUGAUAGAUGUGUCAAAUCCUCAGGGUUGGUGGCUUCUCUGCAGACAAAAGGUUCCAUACUUGCACCGUACCUGUAGAAGUGCGUGCUUUCCCGUGUGUGACGAUUGUGUGAGGUUAGCCAUUCAUUCAUGCUUUUUAAGUUUGCUGGGUAUGUUAGUGAGAUUUUGGUUUACAGUCAAUAACAAAGUGAAAAUAAUGUUCUUCAAAUGUGGGCUCAUGAUCUGAGAGAUGGGAGGAGCAGGAAAUCAAUGCUUGUUAUCAUGACCCAUUUCCUUUAGAAGAUAAGAAUCCCUUAGAAUUGACACGGAUUAAUUACACAGAUGAUAUCAGUUGUCUUCGUCAAAAUCCUGUGUACUAAAUCAGCCUUACUGAAAUGGUUAAUACACUAGCUGUUGAAGUCGUUCAUGACUUUUAUUGCCAUAUUUACUUUGUCCUCUUUUUAUGUUUUUGGUUUUGUAAGUCUUUGGAAAGCAAAACCACUAAAUUUAAACUUAAAAACGUGGUGAAAAAAAUCAAGGCUGACAUUUAAUUAGAUGUUCCAGAUUCUUUUUAGGAAGAAAAUGAUGAUGAUAAGAAGAAGAAGAAUAGCUGCUGAUAUUCUAUGGCUCUGUGGUUUCAGGAAUCAUUAUAACUGUUUUUGCUGCGUGGAUGAGCAUGAAGGGCUUCAGAUGUAGAUUAAGGCAGUGUUGAGGUAGGCUGGUAGUUUGUCUAGAUGCUCAAAGUUGUUUCUGUGAAAGCAGUAACACUGCAGCAUUUUAUUUUAUAUGUUAAAUAAACCACUAAUUAAAAAAACAACACUUUUUUCAUUUUAAGAUGCUGUAAAAUUAGAUUUACUUUUUACUAUAAACAGAGUUUUUAUGAGGAAAAGGUCAAAAACAUUCAGCACUUUGUAUAAUGGACUUUUUAAUGAAGAAUACAAUUUUUUAAUGCUUUCCUAUGAAUGUUAUUCUUGAUGUAUAAUACUGACUUAUCUUCAAGUAGAAAGAGGAUAACAAAUGGAGGCUGUACCCUGAGGUUUAUUCCAAGUGCAAAAAGACUGUUUUAGAGUCCCGAUCUUUGAAUUUCCUUUGCCUGUAACAUUCUGUAGAAAGCUGUCUGGUCCACUUAAUGCUUUUUUGGGGGAUAUCUUUAAUCCCAACUACGACAGCCCCAUUGCAAGUCUGUGCAAUAGAAAACCUGAUGAAGCAAAGAUAAUCAAAGACAGUUGAAACUUAACACUAGUACCAGAAUCUUUGGGGAAUAUUAGGAAAAAGCUUACUUCUCAGUUUGCAUUAAUAGAACACAUAGUCUAACAAUAUUUCUUUCUUGAGCACAGGCAAUUGGACAACCAUAUUUAGAUUACAAUAUGGUGGUUAUGUACUUGUGUAGAACCACGCUUCUUUUAAAUCAUGAAGGCAUUAUGAAAUGUUUCGUUUGUGUAGAUUUUAUGUGCCAAACCUGAAGAUCACUAGGUGCUAUUCACCUGUCGAAACACAGGGAAAGAAAUUUGAGGGAUGUUUCCCAAGGAGAUUUGAACUCUUUAAGACUGUAUUUUGUUUUCAUAUGAAACAUUCUUAUGAUUGGCUUUCAAUUUUUGUAUGACUAUGUGAUAGACAGACAGGGUUCUACUUCUGUGAUGCUAUUAGUGCUCUGAUGAUAGGUAGGAGAGGAUUGGGUAUUACUCAAUAAAUGAUUCUCAGCUGUGCAAUAGUUUUGCAUCAUAAAAAGAAAACGGAAGCUUAGAGUUGCUGAACUUGAGUGUUCUCAGCAAAAAUACGUAUUUUGACAAUUUUUUUUCCUUAGAGAAAGGGAUGGUUGUAGGAGCUGCUGAGGAAAAGGAACGUACUAGUGAUCAGUAUGCAGAUUUUUUUUAAAUGGUAAAUUACAUUCCUGUGCAUUAAAGCAAAGAAAGACUGAUUGAUUGAUGCUUUGGGGAAAAAAAAUUCUAAAAAUAGAUAUUAAUUAACAUUUUGCUCUAAAUAAAGCUUUCCUCUUUUUUUCCUUCUUUUGCAAAACUGAUGAGACAUGUGUAGUUGCAGAUGUAAAAAUGCUUAAAAGGAAGAAUGAAAACAGUAUCUCCGUCCUUGUUUUCCUCUUAUAAUCACCGUAGAUUUGAUAUAUGUAUAAUUUUUCUGGCUAAUUCAAUUUAGAAAACGUGGGGCUGAAAAAAGUAGCUUCAUAGGUUUAAAAAACAUGCUUAAAAGGAAAGUAGUAAUUCAUUUUUAGAAGCAUGAAAAAUAUUUACACCAUUUUAUUUUGAUGGAUCAUAUGUAUGGUAUCCUUAUCACACUGUCAACUGAUGUUAAUCUAAUGUAUUUCCACCCCCAAAGGUGUUAGCCCUGCAGGUGCUGGAAAGAAAUGCCAGGGCUGAUGUAAGAAGGGAUGAGUGUUUUCCGUGUGUGUGUGUGUGUUAACGUAACAUAAAACAUAGAGGAUGUUCUUUUCUAGUGGUUCCUUAAUAAACUCAAAAGUCUAAAAAAAAUUGAUCAUUACUGAUUACUGAUUGAUCAUUACAUACAGAAUGCUGUACUAAAUCAAAAAUGACUGGAAUUAAAAACAUUAAUGAAACCAGCUCAGUCUCUUUAAAUGAUGGUGUGGCAAAUGAAAGAUCCUUUAUUUUUUUCCCCUCUUGUUUUUCCUUGAGGUAAUGGAAAAUGAAAAAUGUUCUGUACAUGUCAAAAUCAUGAUAAAGAAUGAAUCCUAUGGGUGAGUUAAUGAAACCUUUCUGCCUGGUGGCAAGUGGCAGGCCCUCAUCUCUACAACGACUGGCACUAGGAGGCUCUGAGCAGUAUUAUCUGAAGAACUGUGCAGCACCUUCCAUCACUAAUGCCUAGUUUACAUCAUAAAGUCUCCUAAGCACCUCUCUUAAAAAGAAAGGAAAAACAGUGGAAUUGCUAUAACAUCUUCCCCACAACUACUGCCAUAGUUUUUUGUUGUUUCUUUCAUGGAGAUUUGCCAUCUACUGCACAUGUAUCAAAAACAAUAACAUUGCAUGGGUUGUGGAAUCUGUGUUCUCUAUCACAAUUUAAUUACUAACUGAACUGUAUUAACAACAUACAAUACUACAUGUGUAAUAUUAGGCAUUACGAUAUACACUUACAAUGUAAUAUUGUGUGUUUAUACAAUCCAGUUACAGUUAAUUCAUAUAUUUAUGAGAUACAUUAGAAGGAUUUUUUGUUUGCUUCUAUGAUUUCAGACUCGCAAUCUGUGCCAACGCAGUUGCAGCUGUAUGUAGCAUAUGUUAAUGGUAUAAAUAACAAGAAAAUGAACUGAAAAGUGGAAACGAAGUAUGGAAGAUACCUCAAAAGGAAAGUUAAUAGAUCAUGUAAAUUACUCUUUUUCAUUGUAAAACUGAAAAUACUUAUAUUGAUAAGUAUGUCCACAGUGAUGAAUGUUUUUUUUUUCCCCCUGAAAAACUGAAGUACUUUAGCGAUAUGCACAUGUGUUCUACUGUUUUAUGUAGCAGGUAAUGAAUUCAGGCCUUCUAACCAAUGAGCAAUUGAAGAAAUAGCUAUUCCUUACAAUAUUCACUUUCUGGUAUAAACACAUUUGUCUUAGAGGCUUUCUGCAAGGCUUAUACAAAACAAUGCUAGUUAAUAUGGGUAGAGAUUAUAUGCUAUUUUCGGUUGCAUAGUUGAAUUAUGAUGUUUGUCUUGCUCUAAAAAAAGAGGUCCUUAGGAAGGUGCUGAGGACAACAGUUGCAUCACAGUAGUUUGAUAUGAAGUGUUUCAGUGAAAUGUGUUCUCCAUGUGUUCAUGAGAGAAAUUAUCAUCACCUCUAGUUGAGUGUACCUGUAUGUUUAAAAAAAAAAAAAAAGUUGGAAGAAUAGUGAUUGACUUACAGUACUCCUUGUUUAUUGAAGAUUUUCCAGACUACCUUGAAAUAUAUUGCUGUGAAUAUCUGUACAAAUUUCAGAAGGAAGAACUAGUUUUCCAGUUGGAUUUCAGGGAUUGUCCUAAGAAGAUUAAAGAAUGUGCAUUGUUUCCAAAGCAUGAAAAUAUGGGGUAAAUGCUACCUACAAAUCUGAGAAUUUUGCUGAAUACCAAAUUGACUGAUUAUCUCCUAUAUUCAGGGAUGACCCACUAGCUGUUUCUUGUUUUGCUUUGUUGAUAUAGUAAAAGCCCGUGCUGCAAGUUAAUCAAGUAAUAGAAUUCUUUCUUAAUUUUUCCGCAUUCCUUUCACAAAGGAGAAUCUCUUUUGAUCCUGCAUUAAAAAAUGCAGUUUAUGGGUACUGGAAUAUGAUGUGGUAGAUGGUUCCAAUGUCAAGACCUACUCAAAUCUGAGGUUAUGCAAACAGAAGUGGAAUUAAUCAUACAUCUUUAUGAAAAUUAUUUGCAUGUCCUUACUUCCUCUACAGCUUUCUGUACAUAUCUCAAUUUCUAUACCGUAUCUCAAAAAGCACCUUUAAGGUUAAUAUUUUUUUUUAAUCUUGUCAGAGCACACUUUCUUUUCCAUCAUUGUGCUUUUUUUUCUUGUUGACAAAAACAUUUUGUCAUGUUAUCAGUGAAGUGAGAUGUUAGGUGGAGACUUUCUGAUUGGCAAGAGGCUUGCUUUCUCUUGAUGAAGAAAGCAGUGUCAUAGUCACUCAAAUUCAUUUUUUGAAACUUAAAUAGUUAGGGGAAGUCUUCUUAACAUAUACAACAGCAGAUAUGAAUGAUACUUGUUGAAAAUAACCUAGAAUUUCUUCAUUCUUUCUUAUUGUGUUCUCUUAAUUUCAUUAGCUUGACUGUAUUCACAUCUCACUAUACCCUAGCUGGUUUUCUUGGUAAUUUACAUAUACCUCCUUUAAAUAGAGUUACGUUUGGACCUGGUUGUUUUAUAUUUACUUACUUUAUGGCCUUAUCGUAAGAUAGAUGGCUUGGAGCUCACGAGUGGUCUUUUUAUUUAUAUCUUUGUGUGGUUGAAAGGGUGAUGUUUGUUGAAGUGGCAAAAUCUGAGACUGUCAGGAGAACAAAAAAUGAUAAAUGGAAGUUCAAAGAACGCGUUAUUAAGUAAGUUGAUUUGGUAAUUAGAAGUUGGAAUACCAGUAGAUUUUCACAGUAGGGAGGACAGCAGGGAAGGCAAAGAGUGCUAAUUUUAUUUUAAUUAAGCUGUUCAGUUAAUCAGAGUCAGAGGAUUCUGCCGCUAAAUGGGAAAGGAGGAGCAGUAUGAUGUUAUAGACUUGCUCCAUGUUUGACUCUGUCAAGUGGCAUCCAUUUUAUUGUGGUUGCAGUAUGAAGUGAUUUCAAGUAUUACUGAAGGAGCUACUCAAAUUGAGAGCAAGUGUACAAGUAACAGUGUAGCUCACUUGAUCUCUCUCUGGGCCUGUGGCUUUUGUCAGUCUCAGUGAGCUCUUGGGGCUAAGCUGUUUUUCGUCUUAAUGAGAAAGAGCAGUUGAUAGAACAACAGUCCUGCUUGUUGAGAGUAAACGUACAAAACAUAGAUUAUUUUCAGUUUUUAUCAUUACAGCUCUGCUUAAACUGGAAACAUGAUGUGGCUUACAUUAUGACAUAGUUCCUUGUCAUCGUGAUUUGUUAUCAAGAUCAACAAAGAGUAGCAGCUAGGUCCUCUUAAGUCACGGCUGUAAUUAAUAAUUACUGUGAGCUAUUUGCUUUCUAUGAAUAAAGCAUUUCAUCCAUAUAUAGAUCACUUCAAAACCACAAUCUAGCUUAGUGUUUGAAGAUACACAAAAAGGAGCUUGUUUAUGAAACUGUGACUUAGCUAUCACACGUAACAUGCAUUAACUCAAGCAGAAAUGUUCAAACAGGGUAGUGCCCCCUGUAAUCUGCCUUUCCAAAUCUUUUACCAGUAUCCCAUUCAUAAUAAAAAACCUCUAUCUUCUAGUAAAGUACAAAAUUACUGGCCCUGAUUUUAGUUUGGGUUUGCAGCCUGCCUCUGAUCUCCUGAUCCAUGUCCUGACAAGCUUAUUUAAACUGCUCAGUUUACUAUUAAAGUCUGUGUGUUUUUUUCAUGGAACUUCUGAAGAAAUAUUAUGUUCCAGGAAUUAGCUGGGGGCUUACUGUUCUCUUCUAAAAUUUUCUUAACUGCCUUGCCAAAUAAUGGAAAUGAUAAGAAUAGUAAACCUAUUGUGUGAUAAUUACCAACUGUAGUCUGACUACUCAUUUGCAUGUUCUGAUUCCAGAGUUGCAUGCAUUAUAUAAUGUUAGCCUUUUUGUAACGUCUCUGUUAUAAAGGGAUGUUACUUUAUUCCAUUACCUACAUUAUCAAGAAGCUACUGCAUGACAAAUUUUGGAUCCAAGUGGUAAUGAUAGGUCGGAAUAUGCCAGGACCCUACUAGGUUUCAUGUACUAAGCUGAGCUUGCAAUUCUAGCAUUCAAAGUUGUUUUGAAUUGGAGUUGACUUGUAAUCAGUGAACACAGAAAGAAAAAGAAAUGUCAGAACCCCAUUUUUGUUGAUUCUGUACCAUUCACUGAAAAAUGAACAAGACAAUAGUAAGCAUUCUUCACUAAGUUACUGUAAAAUAACACUCAUUGAAAGCAUAAAAUCUAAAGCUUACCUGGGUAAUAGCUUUGUUAACAGUUGGUUGAUGAUCAGUUUCUGUGGGAGCCUUUUCCAGAUGUUUCUGGACUGCCUCCUCAAUGGCAGUUGACUGUACAACUUUCUCUCCCACGUUAUUUCUCACAGUCACAAGGACCACUUAUUCCUUUGCUUUCCUUAGCAAUAUAAGGCAGCUGGGACCUACAUUAAUGUUUAUGAAGUUGCUCCUUGUGAGAAUAGUUUGUUCAGUUUUUUUAAGUGUACCUUUGCAUCAGAUAGUUCUACACAGGUAAUUCAUUUCUAUGAUUUAGGAUGUUGUUAAUUGCCUUUCUGAAGGGAGUUUGAGCACCUUUUAAGCAAACAUCUGAACAAUUAGCUAUGACAAUUCUGCCACUGUGCAUUCACUUAAUUUCCAAUUAAUCAAACAUGCAAUAAAUCAUUAGUAUAAUUACACCUGUUCAAAUAUUCCUACCCUAGCACAUUAGCUAUGCUCAGGCAGACUUCUUUGCCAGCUGUGUGGAUGGGUUCAUUUGUCUGACCCAGUUGGUUGCACUCCCUUGCUCCUUGUGAGCCUUGAGAAAUGAUAGGGCAGAAAUUUUAAUUAUUUAUAAUACCACAAAUUCUUUUGAUUCUCUGUUCAUACUUCUCACUUGGAUGCUCCUCUAACAACUUAAAACAAACAUCAGUGGAGUGGUGAGACUAGUUAAUUUCUGAAGCUUUUUAAUUCAUUUUUAUGUCCCUUCUGUGUCACUUUUCUAAUUAUGUUGUCUCCCCAGGUAAGCAGUAAUUCCCUCAUCACUGUAUAUCUCAAGCACAAAUUAUUAAAGUAGUAUCAUUUAUGUCAUAUAAAUGCAACUGAAAGUAUCCUAAAGGUACUUUAUUGGUAGCUAGUAAACUGAUUCAAGAGACUAACAUUUUAGGACUUUGUUUUGAAAGGCUGCAGAAGUACUAACCUACUGGCAUAACUUCAUAAUAUCAGUGCAAUUAUUUUUAGCAUCUGAGUAAGACACUCAAAAUCAAACUCUGAGUAUUAACUUAAAUUUGAAACGUGUGAGAGAUGUGUUUUUUGUUAUCUACUUCCAUACAGCAUCUGAAAAGGAGUGAAUUGCCUCAGGAUCUAUACCAAGUUCAUGGCAGGAGUGGGACUACUGAGUAUUUAUAUCUACGUAGUCUCUUGUUGUAAGCUUUAAGUUGUACUUAAUGUACAACUGUGUUGUUAGACUCAAAGUAAGGAGACCAGGCCGUGUAAUCUCAGUCUCUAUAGUCACUUACAUAAUAGGAUCUUCAUGUUAUUAUAGGCAUGCUUAACAUCUUGCAGCAUAGGUUCUUUUACUUCGAGAAUACAUUAGUGGGUUACAACUUGUCUUUGUUUUAAUCUUUGAGCUAGGGGUUGGAGAAGAUUCGUAAUACUUGAAUCCAUUAAUACAAAUAGGUAAGGUGUUUAAAAUUAACUGAAGGUGUCAUAAUGUAUUCAGAUAGUUAGCUUUUCCCUGGCAACCCAUUCCAUAUUCUGUUUAUAUCCUGUGACUGUAAGUUUGAAUGUCUUGUUUAUUUUUAUUUCUGCAAUUUUGGUGGUAAUACAAGACAAUAACAUCACCAGACACUCUUCUUUACCUUUAUCAUCUUGAAAACUUUGAAUCAAGAGGAUAUUCUCAAAAUUUUCAGUAUAGGUUUUCAAGUCUUUUACAAUUUUCGUUCUCUGCAGCUGACAGUAUUCUUUGCCUAGUCCCUUUAUUAUAGUUUUCCUCAUCCCAACUUCUUCACAUCUUCAGAAUACCAUCCCAGGUCUGAACUCACUUAACUUUAGCUUGAUUGAAGUACAGUAUAAAUAAUUUAAUAUCUCAAAACAUAACAGUCUUGAAACUUGAUCAGUAUAAACAACAGUGUAGUUUUUAGUCACCUAAGGGAAAGUCCAUGAGAAAAUUGUGAACAGAAUCAUCUUCACCAGUUGAAACUUGGACGUGAAUGUGCAUUUCUUGUCAUUACAAGAUUCUCUUCAGGAGCUUAAAGUUUACCACAAUAGUAUUGCCUUUGGUUGGUUGUUUUUUUUUGUGGUUUUUUUUUGUUGUUGUUUGGCUCAAGUACAGUGUAAUGUCCUUCUUUCACUUCAGUGCUUCAGUGAAUUAUUUUAAGCUUGUAUUAUGUUUAAUUUUUUAAAGCAGAAAAUUUGGUUUUGGGCCAGUAGUCCAAAGCAGUCCUUUUGUCCUAAAGUCUGUCUCAUCUCUCUGGAUCUGGAGGAGCAUGGUAUAAGUGCUCUUCACAUUUUCAGCUGUUGGUGAGUGUGUUACAUUCUACAUCAUAUGAUAUAUUAACAGGACAGGAAUUUUCUAUGCAGUGCUUAGGGGACCUCUUUACUUUGUAUUAACAGUUGAUUAAACGUAGUACAGUGAGUAUCAUAUUGAAGCAGAAUAAUUGUGAAGUACUUUGUCUUUUGAAGCCUGAAGCAGUUUCUGUGGCAAUAACUUUAGAGGCUUAUGAAUGUUUUUAUGUAUUUUUCUCAGAUUAAUAAAAUGUUCAUAAUUUUCCUGCCACAUUUGAAUAGUCUACAAUUACAUGACUUUUAUGAGCAAUCUAAAUUAAAGACCCUAGUCAUCAGUACAGAAUGAAUUACUUGACCAGGGUUUCAUUUGUGCAUUGUUUUUGUGCGUCCAGAUGGGUGUUUUGGUUUACCAUAUUCAUCAGCAAGAAAUCUCAGAGCAUUGUAACAUCUGUGUGAAGCUUGAGCACACAUGCUCAAUUAUUUCUAAACUGCAAUGAGGAGCUUAGUUUUAUCUCUCUGAAAUAUAUGAUUAUCUUUUUGUACUUUAUUUGUAGGGGAAGAGGCAGUUUCACUUAGCACGAAAUCUGUUGAUUGCAUGGCAGAGUGUGGGAGGUGAUGUUUAUGCUGAUGGUCUGAUGUUGCUGUUUCUUAUGACUUAAAAUCAUCUGUCAUUUCAGCUGGAUUUAAAAAAGUUAUACACAAAUGUUAUAGGGCAAGCACUUCUAGAACUUCAUCUGCUAGGAUACAGUUAAUCCUGAUUUCAAAGGGCAAAACUUUUUAUUUGGUUGUCACUAGAUACUGCUUCUACAACAGCUGCACUGGUCAUCAAGAACAUGACCAGAAUGCAAUAGGUUCUUAAGCAAGAGCAUGAACUUUGUGACGCUCAAGAAAGAACAUAAACUCAAGAAAAAAGCAGAAUUUUCUUUGCAUUGGCAAUAAAUCGGUGGCAUUGGAUAUCACACAGAAUGGGGAAAGCAGAUUGAUAUGAUGUUGACAGAAAUGAUGCUUAUGUUCAAAUAAUCUGGGAAAUUGAUGAAGCGUAUUUCGUCCUGGUAGAAAUGCUGUCUGCUACCAAUGGAUGGAUUGCAAGAGUCAGCCCUGCUGUGGGACUGGCUUAGGUUUAGGUUUAACAUCUCACGUUUCCAAAUGAUUCUUUGCCGUGUCUGGUUUCCCAGCCCCAUGUUUUUCACAUCACCCAUUUACACAUCCCUCUACAAUGUUCUGCUGAAUUGCUUUUAUUAUUAUCAUUUCAAUCCUCAGUCCACUCUGUGCCAACAAAUAUUGAUUUUUAUGCCUCCUUUGUCUAAUAGAAGAUUGUAGAUGUAGUCACUAUUUUAAGUGGAAAACCUUUUAUUGGUGUUUUACAAAGCUCUUGUAACUCAUUUCCUUCCAAUAUAAGUUUGGAUGGUUUUUUUCCCCAAGCUAAAUUUUGCAUGGAUUAAUUUAUUAUUUUUUAAAAUGAAAUCAUAUAUAGCUUCUGUAAGGAGCUAUUGGCUUUUUAUAUAAGUUUGUAACUGUUCUGUGUCUUGUAAUAGUAAAGGAGACUAUCAAGAUCUUCUGUUAAAGUCUUAAAAAGGGCUCAUAGACAAAUGCAUAAUGUUGGAGUGCGCUCCUCGAUGAGAGGAGAAAGCCUAGCUUUAAAAAAAAAUUCUUAUACCUUUUAGGACAGAAAAUGUUCCUUUUGGUUGUUAAAAUAUUGUACCUCCUGAUGAAUAAUUUGUUUUCUCUUAUGUUGAACUUAGAAAUAUAACUUCCAGUAGGCGUCUCAAAGACAUCAACCUUUCUACCAACUUCAGAGAUGGAUCAAGUCUUGUACUGUGAUACUGUAAUAUAUCUGAAAAUGAACAUUGUGUUCAGUUAUGUGGCUGGGAUUAGAAAAAACUUAACUUUGUUCUGCCAAUCCCAAGAGGGGGCAGUAAGUUUCUUUUUGUUGUUGCAGGAAGCAAGUCCAACUUUAUCUACACCUGGGUAGAUUCUGCACUUAAAAACAGCCAUUUAUAAUAAGAAACCAACAUCUUCACUAUUUCUUAUCACUUUCUUUGCUUUUAAGUGUAGUUUCCUAACAGUCUUUAAAAUAGUAAAUAUUCGGUAAUUUCAAUAUCAGUCAUUUGUUUCUUUGAUCUUCAAUGUAUUCAAAGUAAGCUACAGUAAGGUAGGCAUUUUAACUAUUACAGUUUCAUAUAUAAUUUCUUCAAUUUUUUUAUCAGUUUUUUGGAGGUGUCUUUUCAAAGAGCAUUGGUGAAAUUGAAUGGUCUUUUCUCCUGUGCUGAGUUCAUGUUUUGUCUCUUCUAAUCCCAAUAUUCUUGUACACAUUUGUAGUGAGGAAUCAAAUUAAUUUUGAAUUCAUGCUCUCAAAUUGUAUGUUUGCAUUCCUUAGUGUAUGAUAGUGACAUUCAUAUGAAUAUGAAUGGAGGAGGAAAAAAAGUAUGUGUAUGAUGCACAUAAUUUUUUAGAACAGUUCUUAGGAUUCAGAAUUAUUACUCUUCAUUUGGAGGUAAAAUGUAAACGAUCAUUUGAUAUGAUUAGAAGAAAAAGAUAGAAAUCUAGUAUUUAUAAGGACAUUCAUUAUAAGCUUUUAAAGUCAGUUGAUUCAUUACAGGUUUUUUGUUUGCUGUUGAUACAAGUUAUAAGAAUUGAGAUGAAGGUGUGAUUAAAGUGGCCUCAUAAUUUCACAUAAGCUAUUGGGAAGCUUUCAUAGCUGUAGUUCUGAAAAAGUUUGCAGUAAUAGUCCCACAAAACAUAGGUUUGGUAGUACCCAGAGUUAGCCCAAAAUGUUAUUGUGGGGGGAGUGGUAAUAAUACUUUUCCCCCUGACUUUGGUGAAAUAGAGCAUUUUUAAAUAAGAGUUCUUAAUAUUUAAAAAUCAGUAGUAGUUGCUUCAGUCCUGCGCUACUCAGAAAUUAGCUAGGAGUCCUGUAAACCUUUGGCUGCAGUAUUCUGUAAUACCUAGGCAACUGAAAUGUUCCAUUUAGUACUAUCAUAAUGUGUGAUUUGUGUCUUUACUGAGAAUGUGCCUAUUGGUUUUACAUGCCUCGGGAACACAAAGCAGUCCUACAUCUGGCAUAGAAACUGUCCCACGAAAGUAAUUGCUGUUUAGUAGGCGGAUGAGUUUUGAAAUUUUUCCCAAAAGAACUUUUUUUCUUUAAAGCCAUACAAUUUUUUCAUUUAAAAUGUGUGCAGUUGCUGGUUCGUGAUCCAUGAUGCACCACAAACAGUAAUGGCUUAUCUCUACUCAAGUACAAAUUGCUGUUGCAAAAUGCAUAACAUGCUGUUUAUAUUUCAGUGCUGUAAUUUAUUGUUUUGCCUCCUCCUACUGAUGCUGGUAUGCACUAUAAUGUUUUUUUGUAGAAAAAAAAAAAUCACGGCUAUAUCUUCUUAAUGCUGUUGUUUGAGCUAGUGUGUGUUGAGGGGGAAAAUGUAUUUCAUAUGGGACGGUCUCUGAAAUAAAUUCUAGCCCAGAAAUUUGGAGGAGGAGUGGGCUGUGAGAAUGUGGGAGAAACUUAGCAACUAAGUGACUUGAGUUAAAAAAUUUAGUAUGGAUUUUAAAUAAGAAAGUAUAUUGAAUAAUACAAUAGCUUUGCAUAGAGCUAAAUCGCUCAAGCCAAAGUUAUCAAACUCAGGUACCUAAUGGUGUGUACUUGCUUGUAAUUUAUUUGAUAUCCAGAGUUUGAGGUGACCAUAAUUGAUAAUGGGAAUCAAUGAUGAUAGUUUAUACAUAACAGAUGUUAAAAAUGAAGGUGCUUAUAGAUAUUUUAGCAUUUGCAAAGAAAUUUGAGCAGUCUGGUCCUGUGUGUGAGUGGUCAUAUUUAAUUGCAUUCAUUGAUGAAAAAUCAGUUUGAUGCGUAGUGUGAUUGUUUCAGUGAUAUUCAUCCCCUUGCCUCCUCUUCCCCCCUCCCUCUUUUUUUUUAAUACAUUUAAAGAACAUACUCAUUCUGACUCAAUGAUCCUUGUGGGUCCCUUCCAACUUGGGAGAUCUUAUGUUCUAAUAUUCCCAUAAAGUAAAAUCCAGUAAAACACUGUAAUGCUUAAUAAAGGUCUGCAUGACUAUGAAUAGGUUAUUUUCAAGGAAAGAAAAUAUUAUUUGAAGUCUCCUCUCUUCUGAAGGUUAUUCAUUUUGGAAAAAUCUCAGUGGAACUCAAUUCCAAGUUCCAACCUGUUGAAGUGUGUAGGUAGUCUCUUCCAAAGAAAUACUGGUAAGCACAUCUGAAAAUUCAACUGGUGAACCUCUCAAAAAUCCAUGCCUGACAUUCCAGUCGUUCUUGUCCACUGUUUUGAAUGGUCUAUGAAUUAGAUUAAAUAUCUUGAUUAUUCAAAGAAGUUUAGCGUAAUGACCUGCAAUUACUUUAAUGGCUUUGAAAUUCAAAAGAUAGGAAAGCACUAUGUUUCUUUAAAUGAACGUUAGGUAUAAAAUGUCUCUGACUGUCAUGAAAAGCCAAUUUUAUUGCUGUUUAAAUUAUUCAAAAUCAAUAUUUGACAUUAGGUAUAGUUAAGAAGUUUAUGAAGACAGAAGCAUCUAAGAGCUACCUUUUAAAAUACCGAAUAAUUACAUGUUGUUUUUAAAAUAACAGGUUAUUUACCAUGGAUCACUGCUUCAGAAAGUAGCAUCUUUAUUUCUUCUCAGCACUAAACUAUACAAAAGAAAGAUGAACUAAAUUUAAUCUCUUGAGUUUCUGCUUAAGCUCAUUUAUCCACUUUGAUUAUUGAAUAUUCCAAGUUAUAAUGAAUAGCAUUUAUAUUCACUUGUCAUCUACUGUUAUUAAUCAGUAAAACAAUACUAGGGAUUUGGCAUACAACCUUUAGUAGGAAACUUAUUUGACCAAGCGCUUGUUCAACAUAAAACAAUGUUAUAAAGUCUUGAGAGUAUAAAAAAUAAUUUUAAAAAAAUGCAUGUAACUUGAAUGUUAAGAGUUAUUUUAAUCCCUCUCUGAGGGGUACCAUGUUGGUCCAAGAUGGAACUGUUUGAGCAAGAGUUUGCAUCUACCCCAAAUAAACAGUUGACAUAUUUGGUCAACUCUUAUUCAAUUACAAUGUGGCAUACAAAGAAUACCUCUCAAUAAUUUGUAAUCCCUUGACAUUUGUGGUAGUAACACAUAACAUGAGCUUAAAUGCUUAUGGUCAGCUAAGGAGAAAACAGUCAUCAGAAGAGUUUCUCUUUAUGCAUAGGUGUAUGCUUCAUAAACCAGAAGAUACAAGAGUAGUCAGAGCUUUUCACCAUUUAUACAAAUAAGAUUGUUCAAAAGAAUAUUCUUGACUAUUGAAGUGGAGCAUGUCCCAAGACUACUGAGUCUUAAAUAAGUACGCUGUGGGAUACCUACAGAUAUUUAGCUAAAACCUAUCUGUUGGACACCAGAGUUUUUCUUCCUCUUUUCUUUCCUUCUUUUUUCAUUUCCCCUUCCUUUCUUUUGAAGGAAACCAAACAAGGUUUGUUUGGAAACCUUUGCUUUCCUAGGUUAAAAGCAUUAAGCGCUCACUUAGCUCUGGUCCCAAGCACCUGACUACCACUUGUCUUCCAGCCUGUAUGCACAGCCAGGAUUUCACCUUCCCAUGUGCAGAAUCCAGCAUUUGCUUUUGUUUAAUUUCAUACAGUUGGUGAUUACCAAGUACUCUAAUCUAUCCAGAUCUCUGCAGGGCCUCUCUACCCCAAAGAGAAUUGAUGGCUUCUCCCAGUCUCCCAGUUAUCAUCUACUGAAAAUGUAAGAUGAGAAUCUGGUUACAAGAAUGUGUUGGUAAGGCAAAAGAAUACAUGUCCAGACAACAGCACUGUGUGUGUUUGUCUGUGUAUCUCUUGAGCACUCUUGCACAUGCUCCUCAAUAUGAUGCAAGAAAAGAGCAAAAAAUAUCAUCUCCCUUUAAAUGGCUAGUACAUUCAUAUGCAUGAAACUGAGAGAUAGGAAAGGAAGAGUUUAAAAUCUUGGUAAUUGGCACUGAUGUGUUUUGAGGGGCAUGUAUGCAGCUGUUCCGCUGUCCAUUGAACAGUCCCUUGGAGUUGCUUACUGCAUUCUAGCUUCUGCUGUUGUGGAAAGAAACUGGCAACUGUCUUGAGCCACAUACCUGCCAGCCAGCACUUGUGGUAGAGUUAGUGUUGCAGCACUCUUUCUGUGUAUCCAUUUCUCUCUAAAUAUACUGUACAAGUCCAUGUCUUUGUAACUGGAGGAUGUCUUGGACAGCCUACACCUUUGCAGCAGUGUUUCAUAAUUGGGGGUUAUUCCAAAAUGGAAAUUACCUCUAAUACUCAAGUACACACUGCUUAAAAUAAGUCCAAAUUUUCAUAACAAUGGAGUAUAAUAUAAUUAAAAGGGAAGGUAUAAAACAGGAGUAUUUGGAUUCUUCUUCACAGGAAUUACAAUGUACUUUAAAAAAAAAAAGUCAAAAAGAAAAAAAAAUAAAGUCUCCACGGAAAUGAAAAAAAAAAAAGCCAACACCUUUUCUUACCAAUGGAAAAACUGGGGGAGCUUUUAAGUUCUGUGUUCAUCAGGCUUAUCUGUGUUCUCUGAAGUUCAGGGAGAUUAUGCUUGCUGGCAGAUUUUCAGUAAAGAUGACAUUUAGUAGUUUUGGCCAUUCAGAAACAAAACCAAAGAAAACAGUUUUCCUUUUUGCUG